UAGAGUUUGAUCCUGGCUCAGGACGAACGCUGGCGGCGUGCUUAACACAUGCAAGUCGAACGAUGAAGCCCUUCGGGGUGGAUUAGUGGCGAACGGGUGAGUAACACGUGGGCAAUCUGCCCUUCACUCUGGGACAAGCCCUGGAAACGGGGUCUAAUACCGGAUAACACCUGCCCGGGCAUCUGGGUGGGUUAAAAGCUCCGGCGGUGAAGGAUGAGCCCGCGGCCUAUCAGCUUGUUGGUGAGGUAGUGGCUCACCAAGGCGACGACGGGUAGCCGGCCUGAGAGGGCGACCGGCCACACUGGGACUGAGACACGGCCCAGACUCCUACGGGAGGCAGCAGUGGGGAAUAUUGCACAAUGGGCGAAAGCCUGAUGCAGCGACGCCGCGUGAGGGAUGACGGCCUUCGGGUUGUAAACCUCUUUCAGCAGGGAAGAAGCGAAAGUGACGGUACCUGCAGAAGAAGCGCCGGCUAACUACGUGCCAGCAGCCGCGGUAAUACGUAGGGCGCAAGCGUUGUCCGGAAUUAUUGGGCGUAAAGAGCUCGUAGGCGGCUUGUCACGUCGGGUGUGAAAGCCCGGGGCUUAACCCCGGGUCUGCAUUCGAUACGGGCUAGCUAGAGUGUGGUAGGGGAGAUCGGAAUUCCUGGUGUAGCGGUGAAAUGCGCAGAUAUCAGGAGGAACACCGGUGGCGAAGGCGGAUCUCUGGGCCAUUNNUGACGCUGAGGAGCGAAAGCGUGGG
rnacentral:rRNA from 1 species